GAUGAACGCUGGCGGCGUGCCUAAUACAUGCAAGUCGAGCGAACGGACGAGAAGCUUGCUUCUCUGAUGUUAGCGGCGGACGGGUGAGUAACACGUGGAUAACCUACCUAUAAGACUGGGAUAACUUCGGGAAACCGUAGCUAAUACCGGAUAAUAUUUUGAACCGCAUGGUUCAAAAGUGAAAGACGGUCUUGCUGUCACUUAUAGAUGGAUCCGCGCUGCAUUAGCUAGUUGGUAAGGUAACGGCUUACCAAGGCAACGAUGCAUAGCCGACCUGAGAGGGUGAUCGGCCACACUGGAACUGAGACACGGUCCAGACUCCUACGGGAGGCAGCUGUAGGGAAUCUUCCGCAAUGGGCGAAAGCCUGACGGAGCAACGCCGCGUGAGUGAUGAAGGUCUUCGGAUCGUAAAACUCUGUUAUUAGGGAAGAACAUAUGUGUAAGUAACUGUGCACAUCUUGACGGUACCUAACCAGAAAGCCACGGCUAACUACGUG
rnacentral:rRNA from 1 species